rnacentral:rRNA from 1 species
GGAAAGGCGCGCGAUACAGGGUGACAGCCCCGUACACAAAAAUGCACAUGCUGUGAGCUCGAUGAGUAGGGCGGGACACGUGGUAUCCUGUCUGAAUAUGGGGGGACCAUCCUCCAAGGCUAAAUACUCCUGACUGACCGAUAGUGAACCAGUACCGUGAGGGAAAGGCGAAAAGAACCCCGGCGAGGGGAGUGAAAAAGAACCUGAAACCGUGUACGUACAAGCAGUGGGAGCACGCUUAGGCGUGUGACUGCGUACCUUUUGUAUAAUGGGUCAGCGACUUAUAUUCUGUAGCAAGGUUAACCGAAUAGGGGAGCCGAAGGGAAACCGAGUCUUAACUGGGCGUUAAGUUGCAGGGUAUAGACCCGAAACCCGGUGAUCUAGCCAUGGGCAGGUUGAAGGUUGGGUAACACUAACUGGAGGACCGAACCGACUAAUGUUGAAAAAUUAGCGGAUGACUUGUGGCUGGGGGUGAAAGGCCAAUCAAACCGGGAGAUAGCUGGUUCUCCCCGAAAGCUAUUUAGGUAGCGCCUCGUGAAUUCAUCUCCGGGGGUAGAGCACUGUUUCGGCAAGGGGGUCAUCCCGACUUACCAACCCGAUGCAAACUGCGAAUACCGGAGAAUGUUAUCACGGGAGACACACGGCGGGUGCUAACGUCCGUCGUGAAGAGGGAAACAACCCAGACCGCCAGCUAAGGUCCCAAAGUCAUGGUUAAGUGGGAAACGAUGUGGGAAGGCCCAGACAGCCAGGAUGUUGGCUUAGAAGCAGCCAUCAUUUAAAGAAAGCGUAAUAGCUCACUGGUCGAGUCGGCCUGCGCGGAAGAUGUAACGGGGCUAAACCAUGCACCGAAGCUGCGGCAGCGACGCUUAUGCGUUGUUGGGUAGGGGAGCGUUCUGUAAGCCUGUGAAGGUGUGCUGUGAGGCAUGCUGGAGGUAUCAGAAGUGCGAAUGCUGACAUAAGUAACGAUAAAGCGGGUGAAAAGCCCGCUCGCCGGAAGACCAAGGGUUCCUGUCCAACGUUAAUCGGGGCAGGGUGAGUCGACCCCUAAGGCGAGGCCGAAAGGCGUAGUCGAUGGGAAACAGGUUAAUAUUCCUGUACUUGGUGUUACUGCGAAGGGGGGACGGAGAAGGCUAUGUUGGCCGGGCGACGGUUGUCCCGGUUUAAGCGUGUAGGCUGGUUUUCCAGGCAAAUCCGGAAAAUCAAGGCUGAGGCGUGAUGACGAGGCACUACGGUGCUGAAGCAACAAAUGCCCUGCUUCCAGGAAAAGCCUCUAAGCAUCAGGUAACAUCAAAUCGUACCCCAAACCGACACAGGUGGUCAGGUAGAGAAUACCAAGGCGCUUGAGAGAACUCGGGUGAAGGAACUAGGCAAAAUGGU